AUCACCAAGGGGCUUGUGGCUAAACUUUCUGACAUGAGGUAGGCCUGGGGGGUUGAGAAUGAUGGGGCAGAGCAGGGUUUGCUCACUUGCUGGCCAGGCUACAUGACCCCAGCUAGUCAUAAAAGUUUAAGACUGGGGAUAAUCACUCAGUUCAAAGACCCAGGUCAUUAACUAGUAAAAGAAGGGACCCAGUCAGUGAAACAUGAGCUUGGCCUGGAGUUAUCAGGACAGCAGCAGGAUAGUAUCUUGAGCUCUCACCAGAAAGAAUGGAUGGUGGACAAUCUGACUGACCCCAGCUAAGAUAGUGGGUGGCGACACGGGCUGUUGAAGAUCUUGAAAACUCACCACACUGAGAAGGAUCCUACUUAAUGAGGUUUGCACGGCAUUGUCUUUAGCAACUUCCCAAACUGCAGAAUUGAAGAACAACGAAGCUUUUCUUUCUGGAUGCUUCUUUUAAGUCAUCUCACGAUUGUUUUAAGACUGGGUGCAUCAAA
rnacentral:sRNA from 1 species